GACGAACGCUGGCGGCGUGCUUAACACAUGCAAGUCGAACGGAAAGGCCCUGCGUUUGUUGGGUUCUCGAGUGGGGAACGGGUGAGUAACACGUGAGUAACCUGCCCUUGACUUUGGGAUAACAUCAGGAAACUGGGGCUAAUACCGGAUAUGAGCUCCUGCUGCAUGGGGGGGGAUGGAAAGUUUCGGCGGUUGGGGAUGGACUCGCGGCUUAUCAGCUUGUUGGUGGGGUAGUGGCUUACCAGGGCUUUGACGGGUAGCCGGCCUGAGAGGGUGCCCGGCCCCAUUGGGUAUGAGAUACGGCCCAGACUCAUCCGGGGGGAAACGGUGGGGACUAUUGCACAAUGGGCGGAAGCGUGAUGCAGCAACGCCGCGUGCGGGAUGACGGCCUUCGGGUUGUAAAACGCUUUCGCCUGUGACGAAGCGUGAGUGACGGUAAUGGGUAAAGAAGCACCGGCUAACUACGU
rnacentral:rRNA from 1 species